CCGUGUUUCAAUAAUAAAGUAUGUUCUUCUCUGACCUGAGAUGAGUUCCUCUGGACCUGCCUAGUCUUCGGACGCGCCCCCAGUCAGCAGCGCGCGCUGCGCAAACUCGUUAGCAUUAGCUUGGCUCAGCUUUGUGGAUGGACGCAAAAGGUGCCUUAAGUUAGAAGUGACCAAAUCCUUCCAUGUGUUCCCUAUUAAAUCUCCCCUGCAUGACUAGUAAACCGAUCACAAAGUUGUUGCACAAAAUGAAACCUGUCGAUUUCCUACUAGAUAAAGAAAUGGCACUGUAAUGAAAGGCGUAGUAAUACAUUUGGAGCACUUCGACUUCGACGCAUUAAUAUCUUCACUCCUAGUUCCCCCCUUUCCCCCUCCCCCCUCCCCUCCCCAAAGCCUCCUCGUGAGCCACUCACUUCCGUCAAUACAACCAACCUGGCCGUACACCCUAGCCAGCUGAUAGCAAUGAGCAUCCAGGGACAGUGACAUUUUAGUGUUGGUGGUGAACAAACAACCAUGCCAAGAAAAUGUUGUUUGCGAGGUUGCGGCAACAAGUGGAGAACGUACACUCCAAUAAUGUUCCACAGGAUCCCCAAGACCACAAACGGCGGAAGGUUUGGUUUACAGAACAUGGACCCAGCAACACCGCCGGAGGUCUGGAAGAGCUAGCAGUUUGCUCUGAACAAUUUGCCGACAACGACUACAACAUAUCUGGAUAACGACUGAAGGAUGCAGCAACACAAUCGGAGCAGCGAAUACGGAUACAGUCGAGUGGAACACAGAAUAUUGUCAGUUUGAUGAAGACCACCAGGACCUGCUCGAAGCAGAGGACGCCUAUACGGAGGGUCCUCUUCAUUCAACCCCCUAGAAACAGACAUCUGUGAAACUGGCUCCCACAUGGACCAAGCCACUGGAGAGGGCGUCUUCAUCCACCACCAUGGCCACCCAUAGUCCAAGAAGUCUUCACUAUGAGGAUCCACACCUCACUGGAGCUACUGCGAUGGACAAGUGCCACCUGCCAUUGUUGUUGGACGCAAGCAUGACCUCUGAGACCGGAGCUGCUCAGGUGAUGGAUGUCCGUCUUGCCCCACAUCGCUGGGGUCCACCGCUGGGAGGACGUUGGCAUCGAAUACAAGUGCUUCCACCAAGAGCUGUCUGCAAAGACGACUUGACCCCUCCGACAGACCAUCGCAUAUGCUCGUACCUCAACUGCCUGUCAAUAUUGCAAUAGUACAGAAGCCUAGCAAAGAGGAGGCUGAGAAGUCACAGAACUCAAGGUUUCGUGGUCCACCAAAAAAAGAAUAACUCUGUUGCAGCAGUCAUAAAAACAGGGUUAGAUGUGGUGUUGGGGACACAUCAGUUGUGUUACUUUGAAUCACACAUUGUUUUGCAACCAAUUGUAUUAUUAUUGCACUUGUUUUUUAUUUUUGUAAAUAAAUAUCACUUGUGCCAUUGACAUGGUAGUU